rnacentral:tRNA from 1 species
UCCCCUGUGGUGUAACGGUCAGCACGGAUUACUUUGACUAAUUCGGACGAGGUUCGAUUCCUCGCGGGGGAGCCG